ACGAGCCGAGCUUGAGCGAGCUUACCUCGGCUCAAAUUCGGCUUGAAAUUAAUUUCGAGCCUAAAUUUAAGCUCAAGCUUGGAUUGAAAUUAAUUCGAGCAGAGCUCGAGCGAGCCUAAUUUCGAAUCGAGCGAGCUCGAGCCCAAAACGAGCUGCUUGAAAUUCUCAACAUCAUACGAUCAAUAAUUUAAUUUUUAUAGAACAUUAUCUAUAAUUUGAUACAAAAAUAUGUCUAAUAGUUCAAAGUAUAAAAUAAUUAUAUAAAAUAUAGUAUUAUAAUAUGAAAAAAAAAUUAUGAGUUGAAUAUCUAAUUUUUCAGCCUCACAUGUCUUUUCUUCUGUCUUCAAUCUCCAUAAUAUUCAUUUUCAUUUAUACAGUCAAAAAUAAAUAAAUUAUAUAGAUAAAUAUUGGAUUAAACUAUCCAAUCAUAUAUAACUAAAACUAAAAUUUUAUAUGAAUAAUAAUUUUUUACUUUAAAAAUAUUCUGUAUUUUUUCUCAAGCAUACAAUUAAUAGCAAGAUAGGCAACGGCAGACAUAUGCUGAUACUUGGUAACUUGGAGGGAUUCCGGCUUGGCCACAUAGGGUGAGAGACAGAAAAAGAGAAAGAGAGAAAUAUAUUGAAAAUUUAGAGCUCUGUGAAAGAGAGAAAGAAAGGAAAUAUGUAUAAAUUUAGUAAAAUUUUGCUCUUUUCUUUGUCUAUUGGUUUUGUUUUUAUGGGCCAACAAUAUUGGCCCAAUUUUAACUAAACUAAGAUUAUUCAUUGAGCCUAUAUAUAAUUAAAAUAUAUUAUAUUUAUAUAUUUUUUAAUAUAUAU
rnacentral:lncRNA from 1 species